rnacentral:rRNA from 1 species
AGGUGUGGGGGACAUUCCACGUUUUCCGCGCCGUAGCUAACGCAUUAAGUGCCCCGCCUGGGGAGUACGGCCGCAAGGCUAAAACUCAAAGGAAUUGACGGGGGCCCGCACAAGCGGCGGAGCAUGCGGAUUAAUUCGAUGCAACGCGAAGAACCUUACCAAGGCUUGACAUGAACCGGAAUGAUGCAGAGAUGUGUCAGCCACUUGUGGCCGGUUUACAGGUGGUGCAUGGUUGUCGUCAGCUCGUGUCGUGAGAUGUUGGGUUAAGUCCCGCAACGAGCGCAACCCUCGUUCCAUGUUGCCAGCGGGUUAUGCCGGGGACUCAUGGGAGACUGCCGGGGUCAACUCGGAGGAAGGUGGGGACGACGUCAAAUCAUCAUGCCCCUUAUGUCUUGGGCUUCACGCAUGCUACAAUGGCCGGUACAAAGGGUUGCGAUACUGUGAGGUGGAGCUAAUCCCAAAAAGCCGGUCUCAGUUCGGAUUGAGGUCUGCAACUCGACCUCAUGAAGUUGGAGUCGCUAGUAAUCGCAGAUCAGCAACGCUGCGGUGAAUACGUUCCCGGGCCUUGUACACACCGCC